AGGCUGCAACCCGCCCUGCAUGAAGUCGGAAUUGCUAGUAAUCGCGGAUCAGCAUGCCGCGGUGAAUACGUUCCCGGGGCCCUUGUACACACCGCCCGUCACACCAUGGGAGCCGGGAAUGCCCGAAGUCGGCAGCCGAACCGUAAGGAAGGAGCCGCCGAAGGCAGGCCCGGUAACUGGGGUGAAGUCGUAACAAGGUAUC
rnacentral:rRNA from 1 species